rnacentral:rRNA from 1 species
AGCCGCGGUAAUUCCAGCUCCAAUAGCGUAUAUUAAAGUUGUUGCAGUUAAAAAGCUCGUAGUUGGAUCUCGGGUCCGGGCUCGCGGUCCACCUCGCGGUGGUUACUGCCCGUCCCGACCUACCUACCGGUUUUCCCUUGGUGCUCUUAACUGAGUGUCUCGGGUGGCCGGAACGUUUACUUUGAAAAAAUUAGAGUGUUCAAAGCAGGCGCUUCGCCUGAAUAAUGUUGCAUGGAAUAAUGGAAUAGGACCUCGGUUCUAUUUUGUUGGUUUUCGGAACUCGAGGUAAUGAUUAAGAGGGACAGACGGGGGCAUUCGUAUGAUGGUGUUAGAGGUGAAAUUCUUGGAUCGCCGUCAGACGAACUACUGCGAAAGCAUUUGCCAAGAAUGUUUUCAUUAAUCAAGAACGAAAGUCAGAGGUUCGAAGACGAUCAGAUACCGUCCUAGUUCUGACCAUAAACGAUGCCGACUAGCGAUCCGCCGGAGUUGUUUCAAUGACCCGGCGGGCAGCUUCCGGGAAACCAAAGUCUUUGGGUUCCGGGGGAAGUAUGGUUGCAAAGCUGAAACUUAAAGGAAUUGACGGAAGGGCACCACCAGGAGUGGAGCCUGCGGCUUAAUUUGACUCAACACGGGAAAGCUUACCCGGCCCGGACACCGUAAGGAUUGACAGAUUGAGAGCUCUUUUUUGAUUCGGUGGGUGGUGGUGCAUGGCCGUUCUUAGUUGGUGGAGCGAUUUGUCUGGUUAAUUCCGAUAACGAACGAGACUCUAGCCUAUUAAAUAGUUCGCCGAUUUCGAUCUGUCGGCGUUAACUUCUUAGAGGGACAAGUGGCUUUUAGCCACGCGAGAUUGAGCAAUAACAGGUCUGUGAU